AUUGAACGCUGGCGGCAUGCCUUACACAUGCAAGUCGAACGCGAAAGUGGGGGCAACCCUGCGAGUAGAGUGGCGAACGGGUGAGUAAUACAUCGGAACGUACCCAGGAGUGGGGGACAACCUCGAGAAAUCGAGGCUAAUACCGCAUACGUCCUGAGGGAGAAAGCGGGGGAUCUGCAAGGACCUCGCGCCCAUGGAGCGGCCGAUGUCGGAUUAGCUAGUUGGCGGGGUAAAGGCCCACCAAGGCGACGAUCCGUAGCUGGUUUGGGAGAACGACCAGCCACACUGGGACUGAGACACGGCCCAGACUCCUACGGGAGGCAGCAGUGGGGAAUUUUGGACAAUGGGCGAAAGCCUGAUCCAGCCAUGCCGCGUGAGUGAAGAAGGCCUUCGGGUUGUAAAGCUCUUUCGGCCGGAACGAAAUCGGGUGCGUGAAUAACGUAUCUGGAUGACGGUACUGGAAGAAGAAGCACCGGCUAACUACGUGCCAGCCGCCGCCGUAA
rnacentral:rRNA from 1 species